UUCUCCAUGCUUUGGCAUUCCCAUCCAAUGGCAUUAUGCUUAUGGACUAGAUGAAAGGUGCCCUCAUCUGAAGAGGGAGGACUUUUCAGUGUCUUCCCCCUUUAUGAAAUGGCUGAACAGGGAACG